ACGAACGCUGGCGGCAUGCCUAACACAUGCCAGUCGAACGAGGCCUUCGGGUCUAGUGGCGCACGGGUGCGUCACGCGUGGGAACCUGCCCUUAGGUUCGGAAUAACUCCCCGAAAGGGGUGCUAAUACCGGAUAAUGUCUUCGGACCAAAGAUUUAUCGCCUUUGGAUGGGCCCGCGUUGGAUUAGCUAGUUGGUAGGGUAAAAGCCUACCAAGGCGACGAUCCAUAGCUGGUCUGAGAGGAUGAUCAGCCACACUGGGACUGAGACACGGCCCAGACUCCUACGGGAGGCAGCAGUGGGGAAUAUUGGACAAUGGGCGAAAGCCUGAUCCAGCAAUGCCGCGUGAGUGAUGAAGGCCUUAGGGUUGUAAAGCUCUUUUACCCGGGAUGAUAAUGACAGUACCGGGAGAAUAAGCUCCGGCUAACUCCGUG
rnacentral:rRNA from 1 species